AGCGAACGCUGGCGGCGUGCUUAACACAUGCAAGUCGAGCGAGAAAGUCCCACAAGGGAUGAGUACAGCGGCGAACGGGUGCGUAAUACGCGGGCAAUCUGUCCUUGAGGUGGGAAUAACCCAGCGAAAGUUGGGCUAAUACCGGAUAAGACCACGGGAGGAAACUUCUGAGGUCAAAGGCAGCCUUCUUUUGGAGGCAGUCCUUCGAGGAGGAGCCACGUCCUAUCAGCAGUUGGUAGGGUAACGG
rnacentral:rRNA from 1 species